rnacentral:rRNA from 1 species
ACAUGCAAGUCGAGGGGUAUAGUUCUUCGGAACUAGAGACCGGCGCACGGGUGCGUAACGCGUAUGCAAUCUACCUUUCACAGAGGGAUAGCCCAGAGAAAUUUGGAUUAAUACCUCAUAGUAUUAUAGAGUGGCAUCACUUUAUAAUUAAAGUCACAACGGUGAAAGAUGAGCAUGCGUCCCAUUAGCUAGUUGGUAAGGUAACGGCUUACCAAGGCAACGAUGGGUAGGGGUCCUGAGAGGGAGAUCCCCCACACUGGUACUGAGACACGGACCAGACUCCUACGGGAGGCAGCAGUGAGGAAUAUUGGACAAUGGGCGCAAGCCUGAUCCAGCCAUGCCGCGUGCAGGAUGACGGUCCUAUGGAUUGUAAACUGCUUUUGUACAGGAAGAAACACUGGUUCGUGAACCAGCUUGACGGUACUGUAAGAAUAAGGAUCGGCUAACUCCGUGCCAGCAGCCGCGGUAAUACGGAGGAUCCAAGCGUUAUCCGGAAUCAUUGGGUUUAAAGGGUCCGUAGGCGGUUUAGUAAGUCAGUGGUGAAAGCCCAUCGCUCAACGGUGGAACGGCCAUUGAUACUGCUAAACUUGAAUUAUUAGGAAGUAACUAGAAUAUGUAGUGUAGCGGUGAAAUGCUUAGAGAUUACAUGGAAUACCAAUUGCGAAGGCAGGUUACUACUAAUGGAUUGACGCUGAUGGACGAAAGCGUGGGUAGCGAACAGGAUUAGAUACCCUGGUAGUCCACGCCGUA